AUUCAGCCGACGAGUUCCAAAUAGGACGAAACGCGGGUUCUGGGAU
rnacentral:hammerhead_ribozyme from 1 species